GAGUUUUUUGUUUUUUCCAUUUGGAUGCUGAGAAAACUGAGAAAAGAGAAGGAAAAGAAUUUGAUAAGAGUAGGAUUUUUCUUGGGUUGUUUUGUUCAAGGGAACGAAAUAGAGUAUUCUUCCUUGCUCUCUGUUUGCAAGUUUGAAAAUUUUUGUUUCACUGAUAGGGCGGAGUGAGGAUGCUGUUGGACCUUUAUUUUGGUUAAGUGAAAAUGGAGGAAUUUUCUGAUUUUUGUUUAUUUCGUUGUUUGUUUGAUAAUUUUGGAUUGAUUUUAUGCAUUUUGAAAUCCUAUGUCCAC
rnacentral:lncRNA from 1 species